rnacentral:rRNA from 1 species
GAUAAACGCUGGCGGCGUGCAUAACACAUGCAAGUCGAACGAUGAAGAUUAAAAGAUUUCUUCGGAAUGAACUUAAUUGGAUUAGUGGCGGACGGGUGAGUAACGCGUGAGUAACCUGCCUUGUACAAGGGGAUAGCCGUUGGAAACGACGAAUAAUACCCUAUGACAUCAAAUAAUCGCAUGAUAAUUUGAUCAAAGAUUUAUCGGUAUAAGAUGGACUCGCGUCUGAUUAGCUUGUUGGUAGAGUAAAAGCCUACCAAGGCAACGAUCAGUAGCCGGCUUGAGAGAGUGUACGGCCACAUUGGGACUGAGACACGGCCCAGACUCCUACGGGAGGCAGCAGUGGGGAAUUUUGCACAAUGGGGGAAACCCUGAUGCAGCGACGCCGCGUGAUUUAGAAGGCCUUCGGGUUGUAAAAAUCUUUUGUAUGGGAAGAAAAUGACAGUACCAUACGAAUAAGGACCGGCUAAUUACGUG